rnacentral:lncRNA from 1 species
GUUAGAAAGAGAAAGGAACUUACUUGGGAAGCUUUUCCGCAACUCCUUAUCACUAUUUCGCGUUCUAUAAAGCAUAGUGUCAGUCUCCCUUACUUUAUAGGGUAGGGAAGGUAUCUCAAAUCUUUCCACCGGUAGAAACUCCGGCGACCGGCAAGGCAACAGAGAGAAAAAAAGUAGUUGAGGCAAACAAAUGAGAUCAGUGGUGUCAUUGGCGUGAGGUAGCGAAGAGAAAGAGAGAGGGAGUGGCAGAUAAGUGAGGCAACGAAGAGAGAGGGAGUUAAAGAUUUUUAACCCAAAUCCCAAUCAGUCACGUUUUUGGGGAAAAUAUAACUAAAGCGGAAAAACUACAUUGUUUUAUUUGGUUUAAAAUUUAAUAAUAAUAAAUAAAUAAAAACAAAAAAAUCAUGUAAAAAAGGUAAGAUUGCAUUUUACAG